rnacentral:snoRNA from 1 species
UUGCCAUGAUGAAUGCGUCAACAUCUUGAAAGCUUAUAGUGGCUUGGUGAAACAUUGACUGUCAUUGUCAAUUCUGAGCGGUUACCUGAGCAA